rnacentral:lncRNA from 13 species
CAGGACCUUUCAAAAUCAAAUUGACACAGAGCAUACAAACUGACGUAAGCACAGCAAAGACUGGACUGUUGCCAGUUUUACCUGUUGUGCAGCUUGUAGGAAAUGAAGGUUCCGAAUGCUUUAGCAAGGACACAUACUGUGCAUUCCUUACUGUUUCUGUAUGAGUUUUUACAAUUCUCUCUCUCGCUCUCUCUCUCUCUCUAUGUCUCUCUCUCUCUCUCUCNNNNNNNNNNNNNNNNNNNNNNNNNNNNNNNNNNNNNNNNNNNNNNNNNNNNNGUUGGGAAUAGGGUGCCAGUAGUCCACUGUGUAGGGAAGAGGGUGCCAGUAGUCCACUAUGUUGGGAAUAGGGUGCCAGUAGUCCACUGUGUAGGGAAGAGGGUGCCAGUAGUCCACUGUGUAGGGAAGAGGGUGCCAGUAGUCCACUAUGUUGGGAAUAGGGUGCCAGUAGUCCACUGUGUUGGGAAUAGGGUGCCAGUAGUCCACUGUGUAGGGAAGAGGGUGCCAGUAGUCCACUGUGUAGGGAAGAGGGUGCCAGUAGUCCACUGUGUAGGGAAGAGGGUGCCAGUAGUCCACUAUGUUGGGAAUAGGGUGCCAGUAGUCCACUGUGUUGGGAAUAGGGUGCCAGUAGUCCACUGUGUAGGGAAGAGGGUGCCAGUAGUCCACUAUGUUGGGAAUAGGGUGCCAUUUGGGUCGCACUCCUGUCUUUUGGGUCAUGUGAUUCACAACGUCACUGAGUCAGGAAAUAAGCGAGACGCCACUGGCUCUCACAGAGAUGUACAUACAGUAUGUAGUCACACACACCAGCGUUCACACAGACAUGGAGACAUUGAUCAAUGUUUAUUUGUUCUUCUGUCAUUACAACAAUCAUGUUUAGCCUUCAUUGCAGCAUUUACAGACCAUGAUGUAUGUUUCACGUCCACUUGAAGCACAGUGAUGUCAAUUACUGACUAGUUUAGCUUCUAAUGGUACCUUCCAUCAGGAUUAUAUAUAUCUAUAACACCUUACCUUCUAUCAGGAUUAUAUAUAUCUAUAACACCUUACCUUCUAUCAGGAUUAUAUAUAUCUAUAACACCUUACCUUCUAUCAGGAUUAUAUAUAUCUAUAACACCUUACCUUCUAUCAGGAUUAUAUAUAUCUAUAACACCUUACCUUCUAUCAGGAUUAUAUAUAUCUAUAACACCUUACCUUCUAUUAGGAUUAUAUAUAUCUAUAACACCUUGCCUUCUAUCAGGAUUACAUACAUAUAUUGUCACGAUCGUCAUAAGGAACGGACCAAAAUGCAGCGUGGUAUGUGUUCAUGAUGAUUUUAAUAAUUAAAGAAAGCACUGAACACUGAACACAAACUAUACAAAACAAUAAACGAAUAACGACCGUGACGCUAUAAGAACUGUGCUGACACAAGCAACUAACAUAGACAAUCACCCACAACCCACAAUGAGAAAACAGGCUACCUAAAUAUGGUUCCCAAUCAGAGACAACGACUAACACCUGCCUCUGAUUGAGAACCAUAUCAGGCCAAACACAGAAACAGACAAACUAGACAUCCAACAUAGAAUGCCCACUCAGAUCAGACCCUGACCAAACAAAACAUAGAAACAUACAUAGCAAACUAUGGUCAGGGCAUGACAUAUUAUAUAACACCUUACUGUUUAGCUUCUAAUAGUACCUUCUAUCAGGAUUAUAUAUAUCUAUAACACCUUACCUUCUAUCAGGAUUAUAUAUAUCUAUAACACUUUAUCUUCUAUCAGGAUUAUAUAUAUCUAUAACACCGUACCUUCUAUCAGUAUUUAACUGAAUAGCAGCUAGUGGAUAUAAUCUUAUAUUUUCACCUGUCCGGUCAGAAACACCAAUGCUCAUUCAUUCAAGCAAUCCCACCUCUUUAAAAAAAACAAAUGAGGUACCCUUUUAACCCACUGUAAUCAUAGUUUUUUUUUUUUUACAAAAAAACAACAUUGAUUAGUAAAAAACAAUAUUAUAUCCUUCAUAUUCAAAAUAUUACACAUGUGUAUAUAUAUAUAUAUGUUAACAUCUUAUAAACAAUGUAUCAUUUCCUGGAAUGUGCAUAGCUGUGUGUGUCUCAUUUCCAGUAUACUGUUUGGAUACAGAAAAGGCUAGAAAAGUCUGGAUAGUUUUUAAAGCUGAAAGGUGAUACUUCUUACAGAAAACCUUCCUUUCUCCUUCCUUCCUUCCUUCCUUCCUUCCUUCCUUCCUUCCUUCCUUCCUUCCUUCCUUCCUUCCUUCCUUCCUUCCUUCCUUCCUUCCUUCCUUCCUCCCUUCCGUCCUCCCUCCCUCCCUUCCUUCCUUCCUUCCUUCCUCCCUCACUUCCUUCCUUUCUUGAAGUAGCCUAACCACUGAUCUUUAUGGGAUUGGAUUAGUAAAGACACACUUGUCUUCCUUUUGCUUUAAAUCAAUCAAACCUUGUCAGACCUGUGAUUUCCUCAGGGAAGGACUGUUAAGUGCCUACCUAGCUGUCACUGAGAAAUGUUCACUACUGCCAAUCAGCAGUCCAUUAUAAUGUAACAAGACAGGAGGUACAGGAGAGUAUAACUUCAGACUCUCUAGUACUGACAAAAGGGUUCCAAAUGGUAAAGUCAAAGUCUCAAAUCACUAUCUUCAACUUACCCUCAACUUAUCUUCAACUUAUCUUCAACUUACCCUCAAUUUAUCUUCAACUUACCCUCAACUUAUCUUCAACUUAUCUUCAAUUUACCCUCAACUUAUCUUCGACUUACCCUCAAUUUACCCUCAACUUAUCUUCAAUUAACCCUCAAUUUAUCUUCAAUUAACCCUCAACUUAUCUUCAAUUUACCCUCAACUUAUCUUCAAUUUACCCUCAAUUUAUCUUCAAUUUACCCUCAACUUAUCUUCAAUUAACCCUCAACUUAUCUUCAAUUUUCCCUCAACUUAUCUUCAAUUUACCCUCAACUUAUCUUCAACUUACCCUCAACUUAUCUUCAAUUUACCCUCAACUUAUCUUCAAUUAACCCUCAACUUAUCUUCAAUUAACCCUCAACUUAUCUUCAAUUUACCCUCAACUUAUCUUCGACUUACCCUAAACUUAUCUUCAACUUAUCUUCAAUUUACCCUCAACUUAUGUUCAAUUUACCCUCAAUUUAUCUUCAAUUUACCCUCAACUUAUCUUCAAUUAACCCUCAACUUAUCUUCAAUUUACCCUCAACUUAUCUUCAAUUUACCCUCAACUUAUCUUCAACUUACCCUCAACUUAUCUUCAACUUACCCUCAACUUAUCUUCAACUUACAAUUCAUCUUCAUCUACCUUCGUCUUUCCCCAGAACGGACGGCCAUGUUGAAAUAAAGUUCAAAGUAAGAGCAGUCUUUGGCCACUAUCUCCCUCAUCCUCAUCGCCAUCCUCGUCAUCGUACGUCCUCUUUCCCAGUAGGAAGACUGGAGCGUGCCCUCUUCUUCUCCUUAAACCGGCCUGACCGAGACACCCUCAGGUUCCUACGACACGUCUGUUCGUUGAAGACCGACUCAAACUGGGAGUCAUCGAAGGUCUCGUCGCUGAAGAGGCUGUUGCCUGUACUGACUGGUGCCUGUGACUGCUGUGAUGCUGGUGGCUGCUGUGACGCUGGUGACUGCUGUGAUGCUGGUAGCUGUUGUGAUGCUGGUGGCUGUUGGUCGGUUGGGAGUUUGGGGGCUGCUGCUGCUGAGAACAGUAGAAGAGAACAGUUUGGGGGAUUUCAAGGUGGCUUAACAUAUGUGGCCCGUUUCAGGAACUAUGUGGCAGGUCACUACUUUACAGGAGAGCCGUUUGAACGUAAACAAUAACUGAUGAUUUUACGAACGCUCAACACCUGUUGGCCGGAGGCAGUCAACAUCAGCAAAAUAACGUAAUUAAAUUGUUGCCAGCAGCACAGUCACCAACGCUCUGGAUAACAUGAAAACUGCCUAACCAAGCUCUGCUAGGGGGAGUAAAAUGGUCAGAGUUUUGGAUGGGGACUACAGUUUAAGAGGAUGAUGCUGAAUGGGUGGAAACAAAGAAGAGCUGUCCUGUAGGUACCAAAACAUUCAAGGGCCAUUUACAUUUACACAAGUCAAAUAAGAGCUUUCUAGACAGGUACCAAAACAUUCAAGGGCCAUUUACAUUUACACAAGUCAAAUAGGAGCUUUCUAGACAGGUACCAAAACAUUCAAGAGCCAUUUACAUUUACACAAGUCAAAGAAGAGCUGUCCUGUAGGUACCAAAACAUUCAAGGGCCAUUUACAUUUACACAAGUCAUUUUUCCAACAAUUGUUUAAAGACAGAUUAUUUAACUUAUAAUUCACUGUAUCACAAUUCCAGUGGGUCAGAAGUUUACAUACACUAAGUUGACUGUGCUUUUAAACAGCUUGGAAUAUUCCAGAAAAUGAUGUCAUGGCUUUAGAAGCUUAUGAUAGGAUAAUUGACACCAUUUGAGUUAAUUGGAGGUGUACCUGUGGAUGUAUUUCAAGGCAACUGCACAUGGGGACACAGAUCAUACUUUUUGGAGAAAUGUUCUCUGGUCUGAUGAAACAAAAAUAGAACUGUUUGACCAUAAUGACCAUUGUUAUGUUUGGAGGAAAAAUGGGGAGGCUUGCAAGCCGAAGAACACCAUCCCACUUCACAAAAUAGAUGGCAUCAUGAGGGAGGAAAAUGAUGUCGAUAUAUUAAAGCAACAUCUCAAGACAUUAAAGCUUAGUCGCAAAUGGGUCUUCCAAAUGUACAAUGACCCCAAGCAUACUUCCAAAGUUGUGACAAAAUGGCUUAAGGACAAGAAAGUCAAGGUAUUUGAGUGGCCAUCACAAAGCCCUGACCUCAAUCCUAUUGAACAUUUGUGGGAAGAACUGAAAAAGCGUGUGCGAGCAAGGAGGCCAACAAACCUGACUCAGUUACACCAGCUCUGUCAGGAAGAAUGGGUCAAAAUUCACCCAACUUAUUGUGGGAAGCUUGUGGAAGGCUACCCGAAACGUUUGACCCAAGUUAAACAAUUUAAAGACAAUGCUAGCAAAUACUAAUUGAGUGUAUGUAAACUUCUGACCCACUGAGAAUGUGAUGAAAUAAAUAAAAGUUUAAAUAAAUAAUUCUCUCUACAUUUUAUUCUGACAUUUCACAUUCAUAAAAUAAAGUGUUGAUCCUAACUGACCUAAAACAGGGAUUUUUUUUUAUUACUAGGAUUACAUUUCAGUAAUUGUGAAAAAAAGAGUUUAUUAAGUGUAUUUAAGGUGUAUGUAAACUUCCGACUUCACUGCGGGUGCUGAGAUGACUUACAGUGUGGUGUUGCUAGGACUCCCUGUGUGCUGGGCGUCAGAGGGUCCUUCAUUGUGUCGGGGAGCUGAGUGGCGAUGUCCUUGGUACCACUACUCGUUCUCUUAUUGUUCCCCAUAAACGCUCUCCACCAAGUCACUCUCUCGGCCAUCUUCCACCUGCUACAGACAUUAACAGGUCCACCUUUAUGCCGAGUAUCACUCAGACAUGUAUUAAACAGUAUAUCUAAAACGAAUGUUGUCAUAGUGAUG